AUUGAACGCUGGCGGCAGGCCUAACACAUGCAAGUCGAGCGGAUGAAGGGAGCUUGCUCCUGGAUUCAGCGGCGGACGGGUGAGUAAUGCCUAGGAAUCUGCCUGGUAGUGGGGGAUAACGUCCGGAAACGGGCGCUAAUACCGCAUACGUCCUGAGGGAGAAAGUGGGGGAUCUUCGGACCUCACGCUAUCAGAUGAGCCUAGGUCGGAUUAGCUAGUUGGUGGGGUAAAGGCCUACCAAGGCGACGAUCCGUAACUGGUCUGAGAGGAUGAUCAGUCACACACGAACAGUGACACGCGGUCGAGUCUCAUGCGAGAGACAGGUGUGGAAAAUUGUAGACAAGGGGCGAGCGUGUGAUACAGACAUGGCGCGUGUGAAGAAGGUCUUCGGAUUGUAAAGCACUUUAAGUUGGGAGGAAGGGCAGUAAGUUAAUACCUUGCUGUUUUGACGUUACCAACAGAAUAAGCACCGGCUAACUUCGUG
rnacentral:rRNA from 1 species